rnacentral:rRNA from 1 species
CAUCACCUCCAGCAUUCCCAGUAUUGGAGGCAUUGCCUGCCCAGUGACAACUGUUUAACGGCCGCGGUAUCCUGACCGUGCAAAGGUAGCAUAAUCAUUUGUUCUCUAAAUAAGGACUUGUAUGAAUGGCCGCACGAGGGUUUUACUGUCUCUUACUUCCAAUCAGUGAAAUUGACCUUCCCGUGAAGAGGCGGGAAUGCACAAAUAAGACGAGAAGACCCUAUGGAGCUUUAACUAACCAACCCAAAGAGAAUAAAUUUAACCAUUAAGGAGUAACAACAAUCUCCAUGAGUUGGUAGUUUCGGUUGGGGUGACCUCGGAGAAUAAAAAACCCUCCGAGCGAUUUUAAAGACUAGACCCACAAGUCGAAUCACUCUAUCGCUCAUUGAUCCAAAAACUUGAUCAACGGAACAAGUUACCCUAGGGAUAACAGCGCAAUCCUAUUCAAGAGUCCAUAUCGACAAUAGGGUUUACGACCUCGAUGUUGGAUCAGGACAUCCUGAUGGUG